rnacentral:rRNA from 1 species
CAGCAGCCGCGGGAAAACGUAGGUGGCAAGCGUUGUCCGGAGUUAUUGGGCGUAAAGGGCUCGCAGGCGGUUUCUUAAGUCUGAUGUGAAAGCCCCCGGCUCAACCGGGGAGGGUCAUUGGAAACUGGGAAACUUGAGUGCAGAAGAGGAGAGUGGAAUUCCACGUGUAGCGGUGAAAUGCGUAGAGAUGUGGAGGAACACCAGUGGCGAAGGCGACUCUCUGGUCUGUAACUGACGCUGAGGAGCGAAAGCGUGGGGAGCGAACAGGAUUAGAUACCCCAGUAGUCCCUGUCUCUUAUAC